UACAGAGGGUGCGAGCGUUGUCCGGAAUCACUGGGCGUAAAGGGCGCGUAGGCGGCUUGAUAAGCGUGCGGUGAAAGCCCGGGGCUCAACCCCGGGUCGGCCGUGCGAACUGUCGAGCUGGAGCACUGUAGAGGCAGGUGGAAUUCCGGGUGUAGCGGUGGAAUGCGUAGAGAUCCGGAGGAACACCGGUGGCGAAGGCGGCCUGCUGGGCAGUGGCUGACGCUGAGGCGCGACAGCGUGGGUAGCAAACAGG
rnacentral:rRNA from 1 species